rnacentral:rRNA from 1 species
AGGACGAACGCUGGCGGCGUGCCUAACACAUGCAAGUCGAACGGGGGUAGCAAUACCCUAGUGGCGAACGGGUGCGUAACACGUGAAGAACUUGUCCAUCGGCGGGGGAUAGCCGGCCCAACGGCCGGGUAAUACCGCGUACGCUUGUCGAGUGGCAUCACUUGACAAGGAAAGCAGCAAUGCACCGAUGGAGAGCUUCGCGGCCUAUCAGCUUGUUGGCGGGGUAAUGGCCCACCAAGGCAACGACGGGUAGCUGGUCUGAGAGGAUGAUCAGCCACAUUGGGACUGAGACACGGCCCAGACUCCUACGGGAGGCAGCAGUGGGGAAUCUUCCGCAAUGGGGGCAACCCUGACGGAGCAACGCCGCGUGCAGGAGGACGCUUUUCGGAGUGUAAACUGCUUUUCUCGAGGAAGAAACCGGACGGUACUCGAGGAAGAAGCCCCGGCUAACUACGUGCCAGCAGCCGC